CGCGGCCUAUCAGCUUGUUGGUGAGGUAGUGGCUUACCAAGGCGACGACGGGUAGCCGGCCUGAGAGGGUGACCGGCCACACUGGGACUGAGACACGGCCCAGACUCCUACGGGAGGCAGCAGUGGGGAAUAUUGCACGAUGGGCGCAAGCCUGACGCAGCGACGCCGCGUGAGGGAUGAAGGCCUUCGGGUUGUAAACCUCUUUCGUCAGGGAAGAAGCGAAAGUGACGGUACCUGAAGAAGAAGCACCGGCUAACUACGUGCCGGCAGCCGCGGUAAUACGUAGGGUGCGAGCGUUGUCCGGAAUUAUUGGGCGUAAAGAGCUUGUAGGCGGUUUGUCGCGUCUGCCGUGAAAACCUAGGGCUUAACUCUGGGCGUGCGGUGGGUACGGGCAGGCUAGAGUGUGGUAGGGGAGACUGGAGUUCCUGGUGUAGCGGUGAAAUGCGCAGAUAUCAGGAGGAACACCGAUGGCGAAGGCAGGUCUCUGGGCCAUAACUGACGCUGAGAAGCGAAAGCAUGGGGAGCGAACGGGAUUAGAUACCCUGGUAGUCCAUGCCGUAAACGUUGGGCGCUAGGUGUGGGGCUCAUUCCACGAGUUCUGUGCCGCAGCUAACGCAUUAAGCGCCCCGCCUGGGGAGUACGG
rnacentral:rRNA from 1 species